GACCAACUCUCCCAUCUUUUUGCCUUUCCUGAAGUAUUUCACCAGCCUGUGCCUGUCUCUCUUCCCUGCCUCACCUCCUUUAAUGAUGUUGCUGAUACCUGGAAGGCUGGGCCCUGCCUGAGGCUUGCUGGAAAUCCUUCUUGGGAGUUGAUUGAUGGUUUCAGCUUGUGCCAUCGAGCUCUUGCUGAAUGCUUGUGUCUGUGUGUGAGUGUGUGUGUGUCUGUCUAUCUGUCUGUGUGUCUGUGUGUGUUAAUCUUGGCCAGGGCAGAGAUGGGCUGGGGGAUGCAGCUGGGCCCGGGGGGACCGCAGAGGUUUCCUGGCCGGCUGUGCUGUUGGGCUGUGUGUGCGGGCAGGGCGCGGAGGGCGUGGGCAGGCAGGCUCCCCGAUGGGCUGGGAACAUCUGAGCAGCACCAGUGCCAGGUUCUGGAAGAGAGAACAAACCCCCGGAGUGCAGGUGAGCCGUGGUGCAGUGCAAACACUUGGAGAUGCAGAGGGAGGGUUGCUGCAAGCUGGGUGAGGGGAUGAGAGAGGCACUGCCUCGUUCUGCUCUCUCUGAGCAUCCUCCUCUGGCUGCUCUGAGAAGCUCCCUGGAAGAGCAGGCCCUGAGCUAACCCAGCCUGACAGCAGCACCACACGGGGAACGAGGAGCCUGCAAAUGCCAAACCUGGCUAAAUCUGAGACUGCCUUAACUAGACUUAGCCCUUGUUGGGAAAGGGGAGCGAGUCUUCCUGUGGCCUGAAAUACCAAGAGGUGCCACGAUGGAUGGUGUGUGAGGCAGGGCCGUGCUGGGGCCCUGGGGACACGUCCCUCCCCUGGGCCUGCUGCACAGAGAUGCUGCUGUGGGCACGGCUGCGGAUGGAGGCGGCUCCUCUGGCCUGCAGGCAGCGGGAGGGACGCUGCCUUGCCCCUGCAAGCCUGCUGGAACCACCCUCUGCUCCCAAAUCCCAUCCCAGGGCAGGAAUCCAACCUGCAGGAUCCUGAACAGAAGGGUUGAGGACAGGUAGGGGAGGUUGGUUGUUGGACUGUUUUUAAAUCUCCUUUGAUUGCUGCUUUUUUUCCUUUUUUUCCCCUAAAUUUCCGAUUGCCAAGCAGGCUUUGUGUGGAGAUCCCUGGGAAACAGCUGCUCUAGAGAGGGACCAUCUCUGAGCUUGGUUGCAAAAUCACAGAGCUCUGGGCCACCAAGUGAGCUCAAUGUUUUUGAAAGCAGUAGGGGAGGAGGAGAGGUGCCAAAACCAACCUUUACAAGACAGAGCAGCUGUGCUGGAAGUGCAGGGCUGCCCCACCACCUCUGCCCUCGUGUCGUGGGCUCUUAUUCCUUCCUCCCCUUCUGUGGGGCUGGGCUGAACCUCAAGCCCUUCCCCAAGGCUGCUGCUCGCCCUCGCAGCCAUUUCACCCAUCCUGGGAGCUGCUGGCU
rnacentral:lncRNA from 1 species